GUACCAUUUAAAACCAGACUACACCAGUCCUGCGUUACCAAAAACCAAAACGGCUGUCUGUUCUUACAGAUUCUGAACACCGACCAUCUCUCUCUUCUCAGUUUCUCAUUGCAGUGCUCUUGAAACCAAACAUGACCACUUCGAGGCGUAUUGCAGGGAGAAAAGUCGCAAGAUUUGAGAAGAACAUCACGAUGAGAGGAAUUGUAGGGGAAGCUUCAAAGAAGAAAGGAUAUUCGGAGUAUAUUAUUGGGGCUGUCGUUAUUUUCGUUGUAGCAUUUGUGGUCUUUGGAUCGUCUUUGAUUCAGGUGAUUAAAGGCAUGGCUUAGUUUGGUGGAUAUGGAAGUUCUACAGUAGAUAAGGUCCUCAAAGAAGUACUAUGUUAAAAUACAUAGCUAAAGGAUUUACUUUUAACAUGAAAAAUUUUGUUUUACCUCCAAUCAUAUUCUUGUUUCGUUAUGUUUCUUGAAGCAUUUGUUAUCUGCAAAAUACUUCUCUCAAAGUUCUUUGCAUUAUUAGUAUAACAUCAUAAUGGCUACUUGAUAACUGCUGCUUGCCCAUUGAGCGACUUUUACA